CGCCGUCGGAGAGAGAGGCUCCAGAGGGGGGCGUGGCCAGUGACGCGCGGUCUCCCUGGCAACGCGAAGCCCCGCCCUCCCUCCCUCCGCCGCUCCUCCCCCGCCUCCGCUCGGGCUCCGUUUCCAUGGCGACACAGCCGGCCAGGCAGGCCUGGCCACGCCCCUUCUUCCUUCCUUGUUUACAUAAGAGGCCACGCCCCCUCGAGGGGAGGAGCAAAGCAAGCUGCGUUGAGGAAGCGAGAGAGGCAGGAAGCCGGAAGAUCUUUUCGUGACUGACGAAAAUGCCACCAGAAAAAUGAUUCAGGUGACGACUUCCGCCUCCAUCCCAUAACCGAUCGCCAUGGCGACGGAGGUCGACGCCCCCUUGACCCCCACCACCAUCGCCGACCUCCGACGGGCGUUCGCCGCUUCGCUCUCCGACACGAGCGACAAAUUCGUCCCGACCGCGAUGCCUCCGACCACGUUCCGGCCACGCUUGACCCCCCGACCUUUCUCGAGAGGGUCGUCCCGCCGAGACCUUCGCCGCCGUGAAACCGGCCUUCAAGACGACCCCGAAUCCGAAACCGGCCGAGGAUCCGUGUCCGCGAGUGGAGACCCGCCGUCCUCCUCGAACGGGGAGAAAAAACGAGACGAAUAUCCACGGAAACGGACCGGAAACGAGACCACGCCCCCCCUCGAGGGUGACCUCGCCGCUC